rnacentral:ncRNA from 1 species
AAAUCUAUAUGAGAAAAUUUUAUAUAUAAAUAAAUUUUUAUGAUUUGAAAAAAUUUAAUUUAAAUUUAUUUUACAUGUAAAUUUUAGUGUUAAUUUUUAAUUAUUUUAAUAAUAAUUAUUAAUAUUUGCAGUAAUUAAAAUUAAAAAUUUAAGAAAUUAAGAUUUAGAAAUAUUUUGAUUAUUAACAAAUUUUGUGCCAGCAGUUGCGGUUAUACAAAAAAUAAUUUAAAUUUUAUCGGUAUAUAAUAAAUAAGAAUUAUUAUUUAAAUUAAAUAUUAAAUUAUUAAGUGAAAUUUUAAUUUAAUUAAAAUUUAUAUUAAUUUUAUGAUUUAUUAAAUUUUAUAAAAAACUAGGAUUAGAUACCCUACUAUUAAAAAUUAAAUUUAUAAUACUAAAAUAGUAGAUAAUAAUUUAUUGAAACUUAAAUAAUUUGGCGGUAUUUUAGUUCAUUUAGAGGAAUCUGUUUAAUAAUUGAUAAUCCACGAAUAAAUUUACUUAAUUUAUUAUUUUGUAUAUCGUUGUUAAAAAAAUAUUUUUUAAUAAAAAUAAUAUUUAAAAAUUUUUAUAUAAAAUUAAUUCAGAUCAAGAUGCAGAUUAUAAUUAAGAAUAUAAUGGAUUACAAUAAAUAAAUUUAAAUGAAUAAUAUUUUUUAAUAAAUAUUUGAAGGUGGAUUUAAAUGUAAUUUUAAUUAAUUUAUUAAAAUGAUUAUAUAUUAAAAUAUGUACAUAUUGCCCGUCGCUUUCAUUAAUAAAUUGGAAUAAGUCGUAACAAAGUAGAGGUACUGGAAAGUGUUUCUAGAAAGAA